rnacentral:rRNA from 1 species
UACAGAGGGGGCAAGCGUUAUUCGGAAUUAUUUGGGCGUAAAGGGCGCGUAGGCGGCCUGGCAAGUGGAAGGUGAAAUCCCUCGGCUUAACCGAGGAACUGCCUCCCAAACUGCUUGGCUUGAGACCAGGAGAGGUGAGUGGAAUUUCCCAGUGUAGCGGUGAAAUGCGUAGAUAUUGGGAGGAACACCAGUGGCGAAGGCGGCUCACUGGACUGGUACUGACGCUGAGGCGCGAAAGCGUGGGGAGCAAACGGG